GACGUAGGGCGCGAGCGUUGUCCGGAUUUAUUGGGCGUAAAGGGCGCGUAGGCGGUUCGUUAAGUUGCUGGUGAAAUCCCGGGGCUCAACUCCGGGGCUGCCGGCAAGACUGGCGGGCUAGAGCACGGUAGAGGCAGAUAGAAUUCCCGGUGUAGCGGUGGAAUGCGUAGAUAUCGGGAAGAAUACCGGUGGCGAAGGCGUUCUGCUGGGCCGUUGCUGACGCUGAGGCGCGACAGCGUGGGGAGCAAACAGG
rnacentral:rRNA from 1 species